UACGUAGGGUGCGAGCGUUAAUCGGAAUUACUGGGCGUAAAGCGUGCGCAGGCGGUGAGCUGUGUCCGAUGUGAAAGCCCCGGGCUCAACCUGGGAAUGGCAAUGGAUACUGGCGAGCUAGAGUGUGUCAGAGGAUGGUGGAAUUCCCGGUGUAGCGGUGAAUGCGUAGAGAUCGGGAGGAACAUCAGUGGCGAAGGCGGCCAUCUGGGACAACACUGACGCUGAGGCACGAAAGCGUGGGGAGCAAACAGG
rnacentral:rRNA from 1 species